GGAUGCUGCACUGUAAAAUUACGUGCAGCAACUGGCUCCCAUAACAGAGUAGGAGCCAGCACUGAACACAGGCUGGUCUCCGGCUGCAGUCCGCAUCUCCAGGACCCCCGGAGUGACAUAAAUGAAAGUUCGGGCAGUGAUGCCAUGCCCCAGCCUGUGAGGCCCCUACCCAUGAUGUCAUGCCCCUUUAUGUGGGCGCACGUCGAACAGCAUGUCUACCCGCACCAGAUGUCACCUUAGCUUCGUAGAUGUAUUUAUCGGUUGGCCUGGACGGGCACAUGAUGCUCGGGAGUUGAUGGAGUGGAAGUACCGGUCCAUAUAAUUGGUGAUGCAGCUUACCCUUUGAGAAGAUGGUUGAUGAAGGGGUUCACGCAACAUAUUCAGCUGACCCAAAACCAGAUAAGAUAUACUCACACCCUAAGCUCCGCCAGAAUGGUUGUAGAAAACGCAUUCAGCAGGUUCAAAGGUCGUUGGUGUUGUCUUUGAAAAGGAACGAUGUGGACCUUUUGAUUAUGCCUAACAUUGUGGCAGCAUGCUGUAUACGGCAUAAUCUGUGCGAGUUUAGGAGGGAUGAAUUCCUACCGGAGUGGACAGUAAAGGACUCUGAAUGUGUUUAUCCUGCACUUGAUCCAGAGUCAUAUUUGGGUGACCAUGCAGCCAGUGCGGAACAAAUUAGGGCUGCAAUAAUGGCCAACUUUUCAUUUUUGUUGGUUUAAAUGUUUUUUAGUUUGUUAUAGUUUUACAAAAAUGUUCAUUGCCAUUCAACUACUGUGUUAUACUUUGUUGUUUGUUGAAAAAUUUAAU